AGAAAAUUGGCUAACGUGAAGCUUCAGUUCAUCCAUCUCCAUCACUUUCUUCAACCUCAAAAUGUUAUAAACUCCUUUAUCAAUGGAACUUGAAUUAGCUUCAGUUUCAUCCAUCUCCAUCACUUUCUUCUACUAAGAGGUGGAGACAGUGGUCGGACGACAAGGUUGCAGCGGCGAGUGAGAUCCGAAACAUUAGUUCGGCUGGUGGCUGUUCGGGAGGUCAGAUCGAAAGGAACUUGGUAGCCGGUCGGUGUUGAGUGCAGAUCUGACUUUGCAUAGUAUGUGAAAGCAGGAAUUUGCAGAAUUGCACAGAAUACAAGAUUUAGUUAUGGUUGUCAUGUGUAUGCAUGUCAUGUAGUCUGCAUCAGUAGUGAGCAUGCAGAUUAUGGUGCUUGUAAGUUUGGAAACAUAGAUUUUUCACAAUGCUUAUGCUACUUUACAUGUUGAACAAUGAAAAAAUAGCUUUGCAAUAGCUUCAUGAACUGCUUCUACAAACUACUUAUUGGUUUAAGUUGUAUCAAUUUGAAUGUGUUAAGAAUAAUAUAAUUGAAAAUGGUUCUGGCUGCAAAGAAUGAAUGGUUAGAACUUAGAACUGAAACUUUACUCUUCAAGUCAUAAAUUUUCUGGAGCAACUAAUUUUUGAUCCGCUUCAUCGCUGACACGGAAGUCAGUCACUACUCGCUUAUCGUCACAAUCACCUCUAUGCAAUGAAGGUUCGUCGACUCCGGAAAAAAGCUGGAAGAGUUGAAGGAGAAAAGAAUAAUUACUUUUGCAGUUUAUUGUCUGUCGUGUCACGGCCAAGAAUUCUUCACAUUUUGAGAAGUAGAGAGAGCAUAACGUGUGAUGAACAAGAGAGAGACUGUUGCUGACUGCGUAGUUUAUCAUGGAAGGUGUUUUAAUUUUCAAAAUAUAAAGCACUAACAAUUUAUUACACAGUCAGCAUCUUUUUUAUUUCAAAUUUUCUUUUUUAUUUCAAAUGCUAAUGCCACAUAAGCCAAUUGGUCAAAAUCCAAUCAGCAUUUGAAGUAAAAGGGUGUGGUAAAACUUGCUUAUAACUUUUAUAAGGGGGCUUUCGUAAAAAAAAAACUUCAGGGGGCAAAACCGAAUCUCGCCCUAAUGGCAGGGGGUGAAUUGCAUUUAACCCUUCUUUAAAUUUGGGUUUGUAUCCAACCAAUUCUCUUUUUUUCAUCUUCUUUCAUUUUUCUCUUUUUUUUUUUCCACACAAUUCUUUUAUGAAUAUAUUAUUAGUAAACUUAAAAAUUUAUCAAGU